AGGUCAACCUUGUCGAUUUUUGC
rnacentral:siRNA from 1 species